rnacentral:rRNA from 1 species
GAGGAACGAAAGCCGGGGUAGCAAAUGGGAUUAGAUACCCCAGUAGUCCCGGCCGUAAACGAUGGAUACUAGGUGUUGCGGGUAUCGACCCCUGCAGUGCCGCAGCCAACGCGAUAAGUAUCCCGCCUGGGGAGUACGCACGCAAGUGUGAAACUCAAAGGAAUUGACGGGGACCCGCACAAGCGGUGGAACAUGUGGUUUAAUUCGAAGCAACGCGAAGAACCUUACCAGGGCUUGACAUCUAACUAAUACUUAAGAAAUUAGGUAGUGCUCUUCGGAGAAAGUUAAGACAGGUGGUGCACGGUUGUCGUCAGCUCGUGUCGUGAGAUGUUGGGUUAAGUCCCGCAACGAGCGCAACCCUCGUUAUUAGUUGCAAUUAGCGGUAUACUGCUAAUGUGCUCUCUAAUGAGACUGCCGGUGAUAAACCGGAGGAAGGUGGGGACGACGUCAAAUCAUCAUGCCCCUUAUGUCCUGGGCUACACACGCGUUACAAUGGCCGGUACAACGAGCAGCCAACUUGCGAGAGUGAGCAAAUCUCUAAAAACCGGUCUCAGUUCGGAUUGCACUCUGCAACUCGAGUGCAUGAAGUCGGAAUCGCUA